rnacentral:tRNA from 1 species
GGAGACAAAAUUGCGGUAAACAUUUGAAAACGCUCUACAUCUACACAGACUUGAAAACUGCCGAGGAUGCGAGUCCUCCGUGAGUUCGAAUCUCACAGCCUCCGCCA